rnacentral:lncRNA from 1 species
AUGGAAGAAUCGCCGAUUUUUUCUGGCUCUGUUUCCCAAAUCCCAGCUCCUCACUCCUCUAUCUCCCAGUGCCACCAGCCCAGUGACUCUGGCUCUAUUUUCCAGCUGUUUCCCAAAUCCCAGCCCCUCACUCCUCUUCCUUCGCCUUCCCCUGUCACUCCAUUUCCCUUCUCUGCCCAGCUCGUGGAGGAAUCGCCGAUUUUUUCUGGCUCUGUUUCCCAAAUCCCAGCUCCUCACUCCUCUAUCUCCCAGUGCCACCAGCCCAGUGACUCUGGCUCUAUUUUCCAGCUGUUUCCCAAAAUCCCAGCCCCUCACUCCUCUGCCCCCAUCCUCCCCGGGUCACUCCUCUGUUCCCCACCUUCCCCUCGCCCUGGAUUUCCCUUCUCUGUCCAGCUCAUGGAAGAAUCGCCGAUUUUUUCUGGCUCUGUUUCCCAAAUCCCAGCUCCUCACUCCUCUAUCUCCCAGUGCCACCAGCCCAGUGACUCUGGCUCUAUUUUCCAGCUGUUUCCCAAAUCCCAGCCCCUCACUCCUCUGUCCUUCGCCUUCCCCUGUCACUCCAUUUCCCUUCUCUGCCCAGCUCGUGGAGGAAUCGCCGAUUUUUUCUGGCUCUGUUUCCCAAAUCCCAGCCCCUCACUCCUCUGUCCUUCGCCUUCCCCUGUCACUCCAUUUCCCUUCUCUGCCCAGCUCGUGGAGGAAUCGCCGAUUUUUUCUGGCUCUGUUUCCCAAAUCCCAGCUCCUCACUCCUCUAUCUCCCAGUGCCACCAGCCCAGUGACUCUGGCUCUAUUUUCCAGCUGUUUCCCAAAUCCCAGCCCCUCACUCCUCUGCCCCCAUCCUCCCCGGGCACUGGAUUUCCCUUCCCUGCCCAGCUCACGGAGGAAUCGCUGAUUUCCAGCCAGCCCCCUCCCAGAUCGGAAGAGCGGUUCAGCAGGGGGGGGGGGGGGGGGGGGGGGGGGGGGGGGGGGGGGGGGGGGGGGGGGGGGGGGGGGUCCCAAAUCCCAGCCCCUCUGUCCCCCAGUGCCACCAGUCCAGAGACUCUGGCUCUAUUUUCCAGCUGUCCCCCAAAUCCCAGCCCCUCUGUCUCCCGGUGCCACCAGCCCAGUGACUCUGGCUCUAUUUUCCAGCUGUUUCCCAAAUCCCAGCCCCUCACUCCUCUGCCCCCAUCCUCCCCGGGCACUGGAUUUCCCUUCCCUGCCCAGCUCACGGAGGAAUCGCUGAUUUCCAGCCAGCCCCCUCCCUCCCUGCUCCCGGGGGAGAUUCCUGCCUCCCUCAUUCCCAGAAAUGCCAGCUCUGACUCACCCUGAUUACGAAAUCCUGCUGCCAUUCCCCCCCUCUGCUCCUCCAGCUCAUUCACUCACCUCUUGUCCCCGGCGAUGUUUUAUGAGGACUCAGAGGAGUUUUUUUUUCCAUGAUAUAAUUUAGCCACAAUUAUACAUAUAUAUAUGAAGAAAACAAACCUGCAAAUAAGCUACAAACAAAGCUACAAAUAAGCAACUUCUCCCAUUACAUGCUCUUCGUACACAUAUAAAAAUAUUUGACCAGAAGGACAGAAACAGCCACAGUAAAUAUAUUGGAAGUGUUUCUGAUCUAAAUCUGCUCUAUAAUAAUCAAUAAUUCUGCGGUCUGUCACUUUUAGACCCAAGUUUCCAAAUAUUGAAGCUGCAUAUUCUCCUCCUCCUCACUCUUGAGGUACAAGAGAGAGACUUUUAAAAGCCAAGAAUAGAAACAACUAUCAUUUUAAUAUUCAAGUAGAUUCCACAAGUUCCACAACUUAAAAAAACGGGCAGAGAAGAUGCAAACCAGAGGAAAGAGAUCCCAUGUCAAAAACUGUUGUGGUCAAAAAUCAGAAAGAACAACACAGCAGACAUGAUUCCUAUGUAUUUGUUUUUAAAAUAUUGUCUUACAGACAA